GGCAGUCAGGGCAAGAGAAGCAAUCCUUCGUGGUACAUUUGUGUGUGAAUAUGUAGGAGAGGUACUUGAUGAGCAGGAAGCAAAUAAGAGACGCAAUAGGUCUGCCACAGAAGGUUGUGGGUACUUCUUGGAGAUAGAUGCUCACAUCAAUGAUAUGAGCAGACUGAUUGAAGGGCAGUCUCCAUAUGUAAUUGAUGCUACUAACUAUGGAAACAUUUCCCGUUAUAUCAACCACAGUUGCUCACCAAAUCUCGUGAAUUACCAAGUUCUCGUGGAAAGCAUGGAUCAUCAGCUUGCACAUGUUGGUUUUUAUGCAAGGCGAGAUA
rnacentral:misc_RNA from 1 species